AAUAACGUUUUACAAUAUAUGAGAAAAGAGAGGGACAUUCAAACUCAAAAAUCAAAAAUAAACUGACAACGCCAUGGCAAAAGAAGAAAAAGACUAAAAGACAAACAACAGUAUACAAAACAUAACAUAGAAAGCUAACGACUGAGCAACACGAACCCCACUAAAAACUGGGGAUGGUCUCAUGUGCUCCAGACGGAUUAGCAGAUCCUGUAUCACAUGUGACACCCGUUCUGUUGCUCAUAUGAGUACACACUCGGUUAUUAGUCUAAUUCGACAGUCCACAUUCGGGAAAAAGAAGGGCGGGAUUGUGGUUACGACAAUUGGAACAUAUCCGUCGUCAUCUGUAAAACAGAUAUUACGUAAUGAUCAACCAACUCGUGAUGGCGAUUGUAAUAUUUCUUAGGGGUAAUUUCAACUUCACUACUUGAAACUCUUAGUUUAAUGACUUUCUUGUAAGCAGCAACCCUCUAUCAAGGAAAUUACAAUAGGAAACGCAAGCUCUGGAAUUCUAUAUCAAUCGGGAGAUAUUUAUAUAAAUGCAGACAGUUGUUUGUCUUUUGGUUGUCUUUCGUUAUUUGCCAUUGAGUUGUCAUUUUCGUUUCGAAUUAUGAGUUUGAUUAUCUCUUGCGUACAUUCUGCUCCUCUCCUGAAGAAUGUCAAUCUUGGAAACUUUCACUUACGACACUUUUAUUUUGUUUACAGUUUUGGAAUAUCUGUGUCACAUAUGGACACGGAUAUAUUCCAAUUGUCAUAGCAUCACAUAAUGCGUCUAAUCGACGAUUUUCACUUGCAUUUAGAACACGAUGAGUAGCAUAAUAUGACAAUUCAGUGAAUCAAAUUUUCUGUUUCUUGUAUUCCCAAACGAUGAAAAAAAAUACCAGGAUUGCAUUAAUUUCUAUAAUAGUCACAAUUACAAUAAGGAACUUAUUUGUAAAACAAAAUGCAUCAUUAAUUGAUGUGCUUGUGAAUACAGCGUUCAACAUUGAUGUCAUAUAUCUCAAUUUGAGACAACCGAGUUUACUGAUGUUAAAUCUCAUACAUUUAGGAAUGUUAUAAUCGGGAAUAAGACAAAGCCCUUAAAUUAACAGAUAUGUCGACUAUUCUUAUAACUAAGGAACUUAGACUGCGACUGAUUUAUUGACUGACACAUCGUAUUCGUGAACCAAUUUGUGAUGGGCACUAUAAAACUUAUGACGUGUCCAUUUCAAUUGUUCUUCCAAAUAUUAAACUUUGUUAGAAGUCCCUAAAAAUUGAACAUGUACGAGUAUGGCAUGACUUAUGAUUGGCAAAGAUGCAACAUAUAGAUAGAACACGAUGAGUAGCACAAAUGGAACAGGAUAAGAGUACCAUUCCAGAGCACCCGGUAUCGUUGCCGGUUUUUUUGGUGUGGUUUGUGUUGCAUAUUUAUUUUUUUUUUCUGUGUUCAAGGUAUUAUAUAUUGUAAAAUGAUUUUUUUUAGAUUAUAAAUUGUUUAAGGUAAAAUUAAAAUCCGAGAAUACAAAUAUAUUUCAACAACAUUCAUGAUCAGUUUUGUUUUCGUAAUUUCCUCAAACAAACAGAAAUAACGAUUAAACACUAAAAGAGCAGUAAUACAUAAAAAUAUAUUUCAACAACAUUCAUGAUCAGCUUUGUUUUCGUAAUUUCCUCAAACAAACAAAAAUAACGAUUAAACACUAAAAGAGCAGUAAUACAUAAAAAUUGAUAACUAUCCUUUAAAAAUGAAAGUAUAUAUUUUUAAAUAUAUUUUAAAAUUUGUAAUGGUAAAUUAAUGAUAAAAACAUCACUUAUUAAAUAAAGUUAACUCAUACUUUUGAAGGUGUGCCAUCAAGUACAAUAACAUUAAGAUACGAAUACAAGGACCAAAGAGGCGCGUCAUAUGUUGAAAGGGUGGAAUUAAAUGCUUGAAAUCCCAAUCAUACACUUUUUUUAUCUCAAUCGUUAAAUGUAUUAUUUUGUUUGUCAUACCCGAAUGCUUUCUCAGUUACACUUUAUCAGUAUUAAAGUGCACAUGCAGUGCAAAAGUAAACAAGUUUUAAAAGGUUUUUAUUUCAAUAUCAACAAACAGGAUACUAAAUUUAUUUGUCAAAUAUUUUGAAUAAUGGUCACCUGGUUUGAUUGUAAAGAUGUUUCUUGUGUCCUUGUAUUCGAUUUUAUGCUUUUUUUCAAAACUCUUUUUUAAUUAUACUAUGCAUUGUUUUGUAUAUCUAUAUAAACGUAUAAAAAUUGACAGAUCCUACAAUACUUUUCUUCCACUAAAUCGUCAAGUAUAUGUAUACCGAUUCAUAAGCCGGUGUCUUUAAGUUUUUGUAACAUCAAGUAUCUGUACAAACGUCUUCAAAGAAGCAAUUACUGUAUGAAUUGGGUUUUUGAGAAAGGCUAUGUUUAGUAAUACUCUCAUCAUGUCUCUGACAGUCGUCAUUAUAACUCUUUACUCAUGUGAAUGAAGCUUCAGUUGUAACAUCGCUAAUAUCCAUGUUAUAGAAGCUUCAAAAAAUGAACUUUUAUCAUUUGAUAUGUAAAACUAGAGAUAUAAUUCAUAAACAAUGCAUUAUCAAUAUGACUUUAUGACUUGUAAUAAUUUUUUUUCGAGGCAUCAGUUAUAAGCCCGAGUAGUAUUUUGAUACAAAUUAUAAAAUAUGUGACGAAACGCUUAAAAUUCGGGUAAUCUAGACUAUAACGCCUUCUGAAAUGCGAUAUACAUUUAACUUAAAUACUUUAGUUUCUACUUUAAAUUGCAAGCUUAAAAACUUAUUUUUUUCGCUGUCUGUUUAAUCCAAAGAAAGACAAUCCCCUUAUGACAAAAACCUCGCCAGUCCACUUGACCAUAGCAAUAAGAUAUAGACCAUAAUUGAGUUACAUUAUCAACAAUAUAUCGUUAGACCAUAAAUUUAAACACAAGAUCGAUGUCGUACAGCAAAUUCGCACGAAAGUAAUUUUAAAAGAAUGGACAAACACAAUCAAAUUACAGGUAUGUGAUAGGAUUUUUCAUUCCCUACCGCCAACUUUACCACAUAAACAGACCUAACCAACGUAUUUAGAUGUUUUGAAUACAAAACAAAUAAGAUAUUGUUUUUAAGAAAAAAUAUGAUCUUAAUUUCAUCAUAUUGUUGGGUUACUGUAUCCCUUAUAUAUACCCAAACAUCUGCUCCUUAUAUACUGCGCACUUUGUAAUACAGCUAUGCAAAGUAAACACGUAAACAACAGGUAUUAUCUCGGGUUUCAAAAGAACUUCCUUCUUUGUAUGUUUUAAAGACAUAAAAAAACAGAUCAGAUAGAAAUAACGCAUAUGUGUAAUAAUUCUGUCUUUGGUAUACAUAUUAUAUCGUAAACAUUUGGAUUUCGCACUAUGGCUCAGUUAAAUAUCAGCAAAGAGAUUCUAGUGAACGUAGAUGAGCUACAACAACAGUACUUGAUCAAUUUCGGUAGCCAUGUUUGUUUUGAGGAAGAUUUAGAGGAAUCGGAGCCCUGUGAUUAUAUAUGUCCUUCAGGUCUUGCUAUUUUGUGCUGUCUACCGUUUGGACUGUGUGCCAUGUGGGCUGCAGACAGUGGAAUCAAAUCUUGGGAUAGUGGAGAUCAUGAAAAAGCUAAGAAGAAGAACAACAUAGCUUUAUGGUUGAUAGUUGCAGCGACUCUGAUUGGAUCAUCUUUAUGGUUGACCGGAUUACUUUACAUCAAUCAAAUCGGACAAUAAGUUAUCUAUCAGCAACUUAUUUCAUUAUAGCAUUGGUUUUAUUUUAUAUAUAUAACCUAAGACUAUAGCUUUGAUUCAUUUUUAUAUAUAUGUUCAUGUUUUGUUUACUAUAUAACAUACAGUUUAUCAAGCAAAAGUUUACCUGAUGGUGUCAGCUUUUUAUAUUUAGUGUUUGUUAUACAGCUCCCGUAUGACAUACAUCUUAAAUAUCAAAAAGUGUGUCUAGGAUGUGUUUUAUAUAGACCAAACGGUGUCUAGUGUACCGGAUUUAAAGCCUGGUACCUUUAAUGCGUUUUUGCAUAAUGUAUUUCUAAGUAGAACAAAGGUGACAUUAUGCUGAAACACCUACAUAAACGAAAAAUCUGAUAACCUUUUAUCCUAAAAGCAUGUUAGCAAGAUGGAUACCAAAAGAAACAACGAGGUUUUUCAAAAACGAAUUAUGAUAAGUCAUUAUGUUCGAACUACUGUAUAAACUUUAGUAUAUGCACUUUUUUCCCUCAAACUGCAUUUUUGUUAGAUUUAUACACUGUUGCUCAUGUUUUUCUUAGAAAACUAGUGGAAUUCAGUAGCGGGAUGGAGUUUCCGUUCAAUAUUGCACAAUGGUUCUAAACCUGUCUCCUGGUGUUUUAUGAUAAAACUUGUUUUGAUUUGUUUUACUGAUAAAACUCAAAUUUAUUUUUUUCAUUUCAGCACAUUUUAUGAAUUGUCUGAAAGUAUAUUAGUACAAUAUUGCUUCUGACAGGCACGUUUUGCAUGAACUAUAUGUAUUAAACAUUUUGCGAUUUAUAAUGCAAAUUACAAUGUUCUCAUUAAGCUACAGUUAUGUCCGUGUUUAGUUGAUUUAAAUGUUCCAAACAACAUCUUUGUUAUUUAAAUGUUGUUUAAAACAGCUGUUGUGAUUAUGAUUUUUUCGUAAUAGCUCUUUCUAAUAUGAAAAGAUGUUUUGCUAAAAAUGCUUUUGAGAUAUCAAAUUAGUUCUAUCUAUUCUACAGGGUUAAUUUAAUUGCUAAUUUAGUCUGGGAAAACAUCGUUUAUUUAUUAGUUUAAAUUCGCGUUGAAUUCGUCUGCGAGUACUCUUGGAAUUAUACAUUGUGGUUAUUAUUAUUAUGUCUUUUUGUUAGGAUUUUUUAUGUUCAAGAGCCGAUGUGAUGAGUUAAGCCUUUUCCAAAUGAUUUUCAUGAUUUUUUUUCAUCUGCUGUUGUGCUGUUACAACACUGUCUCUGGGUUGGGGAGGAUUGAGCGCUCACAAACAUAUUUUACCCCGCCACAUGCGUUAUGCGACUGUUCAGUAGCCUUCAAUUCGUUUAUUGUCGAUGAUUGCUGACUGCCAUGCAUGUUUUUCGUUUAUUGUUUAGGCAUAAAUCAGGCUUUUUGGGUUUCCUGUGUCAAUUAUUUCACAUAUGGCAUGCAAAUGCCUUUUAUAGCUAUCUAUGCCUUAUGGGUUCUUCUCAUUUUUGAAGACUGUACGUCUGGGUUUUUUUAGUAUUAAUUUAUUUUUUUUAAUUUAUUUUUCAAAACAAAUAAUGUAUAAUCAUGAUAAUAUACAAACUUGAAAGGUAUAUAAAUUAUCCUUUUACAGUGCAAAUAAUACAAUGUCAGAUAAUUAUAAUUAAGUUGAUUUUAACAGCUCUUAUAAUUACAAUAGCCUUAAGAACAUUUUGAGUUUUUUGCUGCAAACUAAUUCGUGUGUGUUUUGUUUUAUUUUUAUAGUUGAAUUUUGAAGAUAAAAAAAAAUCUGAAAUAAGAAAUUAAAAGAAAAAAAUUGUGGAAGAAUGCAAAACAAGUAUGAAAUUUGUAGGGAAAAAAAGAAUAAUUGGUCAUCCGUGGUUUGCUCUAUAUGUCACUGCAUUUAUGGUACUUGAUUCAAGGCAGAUGAAAGUAAAAAGCCACUUGUAUAGGUUUCAUUACCAAAAAAAAAAAGGCUCAUGUAUUUGUGUUAUUGAUCUUCAUAAUAUACACAUAACGUGGCAGCUACUCCAUUCUCUCUCAAACCGUUCUUGUUUUUGUUUAUAAAUAGCUAAAGUUUUUUUUCAGUAAAGUACAGAUCAUUUAUCUUGUGUGUGAGUGCCUGUAGUGAUAGGACUUUUUUCAAGCUUCUACUUGAAUAGCUAUAUUAUUUAAUACAAAGCAUUAUCUUAUUUUGUACAAUUCAGUUUCUAACAUAAAAAAUACCAAAUACAAAAGUCUUAUAAUUAUAAUUAAGUGUUAUGUGUGCUGUAGAUGAAGUCCAUGUAUUAAAAUUUUCCACCAGAA